rnacentral:rRNA from 1 species
AACGUAGGACGCAAGCGUUAUCCGGAAUUACUGGGCGUAAAGCGCGUGUAGGUGGUUUGAUAAGUCACUGUUGAAAGCUCCCGGCUAAACUGGGAGAGGUGCGGUGAGACUGUCAGGCUAGAGUAUGGGAGAGGGAUGCAGAAUUCCGGGUGUAGUGGUGAAAUGCGUAGAGAUCCGGAGGGAUACCAGAGGCGAAGGCGGCAUCCUGGCCUGUUACUGACACUGAGACGCGAAAGCAUGGGGAGCGAACGGG